rnacentral:rRNA from 1 species
AUGCCUCAGUAACGGCGAGUGAAGCGGCAACAGCUCAAAUUUGAAAUCUGGCCCUUUUAGGGUCCUAUUUGUAAUUUGUAGAAGAUGCUUUGGGAAUGGUUCCGGUCUAAGUUCCUUGGAACAGGACGUCAUAGAGGGUGAGAAUCCCGUAUGUGACUGGUCGCCUGCCCCGUGUAAAGCUCUUUCGACGAGUCGAGUUGUUUGGGAAUGCAGCUCAAAAUGGGUGGUAAAUUUCAUCUAAAGCUAAAUAUUGGCCAGAGACCGAUAGCGCACAAGUAGAGUGAUCGAAAGAUGAAAAGCACUUUGGAAAGAGAGUUAAACAGUACGUGAAAUUGUUGAAAGGGAAGCGCUUGCAACCAGACUUGCACGUAGUUAAUCAUCUGGUGUUCUCACCGGUGCACUUGGCUAUGUUCAGGCCAGCAUCGGUUCAGGUGGUGGGAUAAAGGCCUUGGGAAUGUAGCUUCUUUCGGGGAGUGUUAUAGCCCUCGGUGCAAUGCCGCCUACCUGGACCGAGGACCGCGCUUCGGCUAGGAUGCUGGCGUAAUGGUUGUAAGCGACCCGUCUUGAAACACGGACCAAGGAGUCUAACAUCUAUGCGAGUGUUUGGGUGUCAAACCCAUACGCGUAAUGAAAGUGAACGGAGGUGAGAACCCUUAAGGGUGCAUCAUCGACCGAUCCUGAUGUCUUCGGAUGGAUUUGAGUAAGAGCAUAGCUGUUGGGACCCGAAAGAUGGUGAACUAUGCCUGAAUAGGGUGAAGCCAGAGGAAACUCUGGUGGAGGCUCGCAGCGGUUCUGACGUGCAAAUCGAUCGUCAAAUUUGGGUAUAGGGGCGAAAGACUAAUCGAACCAUUUGCUACUAGGUGGUUAAUAGGCGCACGAAGAGUGUAGAUCUAGCUCUAUAUAAUGAGCAAUAUUAUCAAAUUGCGGGGACCUCCUGUUAACAUUUAGUGCUACCGCCAUCUCGACAAAAGUCGAGUUGGCACCAGGUUAAUAGCCUUGGGGUAUGGUAAUAACGCAUUAUAUAUACGGACAAUCCGCAGCAAAGUUCCUAAAGGCUCGCCCUAUGGAAACUGUUCACAGACUACAUGAUAAUAGGUAUCGUUUAAUACGAUGCUUAAGAUAUAGUCGAUCCCCCGGGAGACCGGGUGGGGAAGUGACUUAAGCCGGGUCCUCUGGUAUAUAAAGUGCUCAGAU